AAUCUUGCAAAUUAGGUUUUAGAGAGAGGGGCUCUCAAGCCUAGAGAGAGAGGGGCUCUCAAGCCUAGAGAGAGAGGGGUUCGGGCACUGUUCACGGCGACUGUUCACAGCGGCGCCACUGUUCACGGCCGGCGCCACUGUUCACGGCCAGCCCAUUUUUGCCCCCUUCUACACAAUUAAUUGGAGAGAUUUGAAGAUCAAGAGGAGGAAAAAGAUGGAGCUCAUGGUAGCCAUGGCAACUCACGGCCAUGGCUUUCUUGAAGACAUUUCAUGGUGAAAAAUUAAAGUUUGUCUCUAAGACCUUGGGGAGCCCGAGGUGUAGAUUUGGAUUAGCUUUAGAUUGGCUAUCUUGGAAGUGCGUUCGAGGUACCGACGACAGGUUUGCUGAUCCGUCCGUCUAGGAUAUCUUUUCUGCCAUUUGGAGCCCUCUUUUAUUCAGAGCUCAUCUUUUGGUACAGUCUGUCACUACUGUAUUUAUAUAUUCUCGUUCAUGGGUAUGGCGGGGCCCUAUCCCGUCAUAUGAUUCUGUCGGUCUGUUUAGAGGUCUGUAGACAUGUUUGUGGGUUGGGGUCUUUCUGUACGGAUGCGUGUAUAUGUUGUGUUUGGGCGAUCCCAUUCGCCGCGGCGGCCGGUCCGCAUAUGUUUAAAUGUUGUUUUGUUGGCCCUGGGUGGUCAUUGUUGGUAUUAUCUGUGCGCAGGGUUAAUUUGGAUAGUCUGUAAAACAAAGGAAACUCUGCCGAAAUUUUUCUGGAAAUUAUCUAAAUUUGAAAUAUAGCCUUGUCGGCUUCUGCUAUA